CGCUUAGGUAACCACCCAACUCUUUCCAUCUGUAAAAUGAGAGGUGAGCUAUGUAGGUGAACACUAAGAGCCCUUGUUUAGCUAACAUUCUGUGAUUGCAAGGGGAGCGCAAGUGAACUGGAUGUGAUGGGCCACAGAACAAUGAGCAACCUGGAGAGCGGGAAGAGAGGGUUUUUCUAGAACCAUGUGUUCGAAAUUGGGAGUCCUCAGAGGGGCUGCAGGAAGCGUGCAAGAAAAACGGAAGUGAGAUUCCAACAGGAGGGCACCACUGUCCCUGUCUGACCUUAAACCAGGAGAUUUUGUACAGAUGUAUUCCUUCAAGAAAACCAGCUUGUUGGCAGUAAUAGAGAAGAAAUGAGCUUCUCCCAACAACAGCCAACAACAGCCAAUGACAACAGCAAAAUAGGAAAAAGGGUUGCCCUCUGAAAGGUAAAUAAACUCUAUACACAAUAAAUGACCAUCUGUGGAAGUAAAACCGAGAGACAGGCUUUACCACCUCCCAGAACUCCAAUCCAGAUGACCACGGAUAAAUCUCUAGCACGCGGAAUAGAGAUGUCACGGCUGUUAGGUGCAGCCCAGAGCAGCAGGAGCUGUGCCCUGGCCCCUGUCCUGAGGAGCUCCCACUGGUCAGCCCCGCCUACUCCAGCUGGACCUUGAUGCUUCACACAAGGUGUGCGCAGAGGACACAGGCACUUCAUGGAGCAACAUACUUUUGUAAAAAAAAUGAAUUCCCUUGUAACAAAUAGAGCACGGAGGCUUUUAUAGAUUAAGUAAUUUGUAGUCUUCUUAUAAUUAUGGCUUCUAAAUUACCUAAAAUAAUUCAUUCAAGGCUUGAUUUUAGUUUUGUCUUGAGAGUGUCAACUCUUUAACUUGAGAUGCUGUAGGAUGGGGUUUCAUCUUGGGAUUCUUUUCUUGGAUAUGUCAUUUAAAUUCUGAUACUUAUAUUCCCUAUUUGAAAACACAUGAUCAAUGACAAUACCAAUACCUGAUUUGUGUGCAAUACUUAUAAUUUACAACGUACAUUAUUUUAACAUACAUUCUUUUCAUGCGACCCUCUCAACAACCCUUUGACAAGGCAAGUCAGAGACUAAUUACUAGAGAUUAUUCAAGCGACUUGCUCCAAGUCAUACAGUAGGCAGGCAGCCAAGAUGACUCUAGUUUUUCCAACUCCUAGUCCCACACUCUUUCCUCUCCCCUUACAUGUUCUGAUAUAAAUCAAACUUAGGUUUGAAAAUAUCUUAUUGAUGUAUUUCAACACCCCAGAAUUUGAUGAGACUGGAAUCGAUUUGUUGUGAUCUGUGAUUGCUGAAUUCCUCGUAUGUGGUGGAUACCAAGGUAAGUUGACUAGAAUGUGAGCUUGCCUACCCAGACACCAGUUCCCAUGUCCUUUGUCCGGUGGUAUAAUUUGAAGUUCACUCUUUUUGGUGUACAGUUUUAUGAGUUGAGUUGUGAAAAACAUAUACAGUUGUGUAUCCACCACUACAGUCAAGAUAUAGAACAGUUCCAUUACCUCAAAAAUUUUUUUCAGGCCGGGCGCAGUGGCUCACGCCUGUAAUCCCAGCACUUUAGGAGGCCAAAGCGGGCGGAUCACGAGGUCAGGAGAUCGAGACCAUCCUGGCUAACGCUGUGAAACCAUGUCUCUACUAAAAAUACAAAAAAAUUAGCCAGGCGUGGUGGCAGGUGCCUGUGGUCCCAGCUACUUGGGAGGCUGAGGCAAGAGAACCGCUUGACCCUGGGAGGCAGAGGUUGCGGUGAGCCAAGAUCGCGCCACUGCACUCCAACCUGGGCGACAGAGCGAGAGUCCAUCUCAAAAAGAAAACAUCAUACUCUUUUGUAGUCAACCCUAGCUAGGCCCCUAUAGUUUUGCCUUUCCCAAAGUAUCUUAUGCAUGGAAUCAUCCAGGAGAUAACCUCCUGAAUCAGGCUUCUGUCUCUUAGCAUAAUGCAUUUGGGAUUUACCAUGUUAUUUCAUUUAUCAGGUUUUUGUCCCUUUUCAUUGCUGAGUAGUAUUUCAUUAUAGGAAUGUACUCUCGUUUGUGGAUCAUUCUGAUCAACUCAGCACAUGUGGAUUAUUUCCAGUCUUGGCAAUGAUGAAUAAAGUCACUCUAAGCAUUCACGUACAGGUUUUUGCAUGAAUAAAAU
rnacentral:lncRNA from 1 species